rnacentral:rRNA from 1 species
UGGGCGUAGGAAAUUUGAGAGGAGCUGUCCUUAGUACGAGAGGACCGGGAUGGACAUACCUCUGGUGUACCAGUUGUCGUGCCAACGGCAUAGCUGGGUAGCUAUGUGUGGACGGGAUAAGUGCUGAAAGCAUCUAAGCAUGAAGCCCCCCUCAAGAUGAGAUUUCCCAACUUCGGUUAUAAGAUCCCUCAAAGAUGAUGAGGUUAAUAGGUUCGAGGUGGAAGCAUGGUGACAUAUGGAGCUGACGAAUACUAAUCGAUCGAAGACUUAAUCAA